rnacentral:rRNA from 1 species
AUGAACUGGCAAUGGAUGUACAGUGGUAGACACACCUCCGAGUAUGUUAAGGGCGUGCAUAAUUUUCUCGAAGUGGCUGAGGCAAACAAGCAGAGUGGUUUUAUGUGCUGUACAUGCCCUAUAUGUGGGAAUACGAAGUCUUACUCUGACCGGAAAAUCCUUCACAGCCACCUACUUUAUAAGGGUUUCAUGCCACACUAUAAUGUUUGGACCAGGCACGGAGAAAUAGGGGUUAUGAUGGAAGACAACGAAGAAGAAGAGGACGAUGACAACUAUGUGCCGCCGAAAUACGGUGAUGCUGCAACGGGGGAAGCUGCUGAAGAUCAAGAGGAACCAGACGAUAUUGUGCCCGAUGAUGAUCUCCGCCGGGUCAUUGUUGAUGCAAGGAGACAGUGCGAAGUCAAAAGGAGAAGCCGAAGUUCGAUCACAUGUUAG